GACGAACGCGGGCGGCGUGCUAAUACAUGCAAGUCGAGCGAAGUUUUUCUGGUGCUUGCACCGGAAAAACUUAGCGGCGAACGGGUGAGUAACACGUAAAGAACCUGCCUCAUAGACUGGGACAACUAUUGGAAACGAUAGCUAAUACCGGAUAACAGCAUUAACUGCAUGGUUGAUGUUUAAAAGUUGGUUUUGCUAACACUAUGAGAUGGCUUUGCGGUGCAUUAGCUAGUUGGUGGGGUAAAGGCCUACCAAGGCGACGAUGCAUAGCCGACCUGAGAGGGUGAUCGGCCACACUGGGACUGAGACACGGCCCAGACUCCUACGGGAGGCAGCAGUAGGGAAUCUUCCGCAAUGGGCGAAAGCCUGACGGAGCAACGCCGCGUGAGUGAAGAAGGAUUUCGGUUCGUAAAGCUCUGUUGUUAGGGAAGAAUGAUUGUGUAGUAACUAUACACAGUAGAGACGGUACCUAACCAGAAAGCCACGGCUAACUACGUGCCAGCAGCCGCGGUAAUACGUAGGUGGCAAGCGUUGUCCGGAAUUAUUGGGCGUAAAGCGCGCGCAGGUGGUUUAAUAAGUCUGAUGUGAAAGCCCACGGCUCAACCGUGGAGGGUCAUUGGAAACUGUUAAACUUGAGUGCAGGAGAGAAAAGUGGAAUUCCUAGUGUAGCGGUGAAAUGCGUAGAGAUUAGGAGGAACACCAGUGGCGAAGGCGGCUUUUUGGCCUGUAACUGACACUGAGGCGCGAAAGCGUGGGGAGCAAACAGG
rnacentral:rRNA from 1 species